rnacentral:tRNA from 1 species
GCAGUCGUGGCCGAGUGGUUAAGGCGAUGAACUAGAAAUCCAUUGGGGUCUCCCCGCACAGGUUGGAAUCCUGUCGACUGCG